rnacentral:rRNA from 1 species
GACGAACGCUGGCGGCGUGCCUAAUACAUGCAAGUAGAACGCUGAAGGAGGAGCUUGCUUCUCUGGAUGAGUUGCGAACGGGUGAGUAACGCGUAGGUAACCUGCCUGGUAGCGGGGGAUAACUAUUGGAAACGAUAGCUAAUACCGCAUAAGAGUAGAUGUUGCAUGACAUUUGCUUAAAAGGUGCAAUUGCAUCACUACCAGAUGGACCUGCGUUGUAUUAGCUAGUUGGUGGGGUAACGGCUUACCAAGGCGACGAUACAUAGCCGACCUGAGAGGGUGAUCGGCCACACUGGGACUGAGACACGGCCCAGACUCCUACGGGAGGCAGCAGUAGGGAAUCUUCGGCAAUGGACGGAAGUCUGACCGAGCAACGCCGCGUGAGUGAAGAAGGUUUUCGGAUCGUAAAGCUCUGUUGUAAGAGAAGAACGAGUGUGAGAGUGGAAAGUUCACACUGUGACGGUAUCUUACCAGAAAGGGACGGCUAACUACGU